AAUCUCUUUUCGCAUAUUUCCUUAAUGUCGUGGCGGUUUUCAUCAAGGUCAGGGAGAAGAAAAGAGGAAAAGACACAAGAGGUACUGUUUUGUUUUUGGAGUAUCUGACUGCAGCCACUUUCACAGUUGAAACCAGAGCUUCAUUCAUCUCUAAAUGUUUGAAAGCUUUAAGGAUCUUAAUCCAGGUUUAGUCGACUGGUUAAAGUUCUGAUACUGAACGAGUUCGGAUUGGAUUAAGGAGGACAUCGCUCUGCUCAGUGCUCAUUUAAAGCCGUCCACACAGGUCUAUCAAAUAACACCAUCAUAAUACAUUUGUCCACCUCAGGCACUGCAUCUGCUGCACAAAGGACAGGAUUCAUGGGGCAAUCAAUGACUCAUCAUGGUCUCUAU